GGAAUCAUCAGCUUCAUCGAAGAAAAGUGAGAGCAGUGGAAAUUCGAGUAGUGGAAGAGAAGAUUUGGAAGGAUCAGGCAAUACUGGAGUUGUCAUCAAACCGAGAAAGUCGAAGAAGAAGCAGAAAAAG
rnacentral:sRNA from 1 species